GCUAAAUAUACUUCUCAAAAUAUUUUUUCUGCACACAAGAGUCCUUGCUACUGUGCCUGCUGUAUAUCAUACUAUGGAGUUUGGCUCCAUCUCCCACAGCACACACAAGUGACCAGCCUGCAACAUGAAGAAAAGCACAGAUUGUUGGAAACGAAAUUCUCAUCAAGGAAAACCUGCAGCAACAGGAAGGAGAAUGCAAAAAUGAAACUUGCCAUUCUGAAAAACGUUUUUUCCACACACAGUUUAAAAAUGGCUCAGCAGUAUCUAAAGGUGACACAUCAGGGAAACCUGUAGAGCCACAGAGUUUGAAUUGCCAUUGGAAGCCCUGAUCUGCUCUCAGACCUGCCAUGUUUAUGGAUAAUCCCUCCCCAGUGAGCUUAGAGUAAAUAGUGUUCCUGUGUUUCCCGUGCAGAGUCCCCC
rnacentral:lncRNA from 1 species